AUACGUAGGGGGCGAGCGUUGUCCGGAAUAAUUGGGCGUAAAGGGCGCGUAGGCGGCGCGGUAAGUCUGGAGUGAAAGUCCUGCUUUCAAGGUGGGAAUUGCUUUGGAUACUGCCGCGCUUGAGUGCAGGAGAGGUUAUCGGAAUUCCCGGUGUAGCGGUGAAAUGCGUAGAGAUCGGGAGGAACACCAGUGGCGAAGGCGGGUAACUGGACUGCAACUGACGCUGAGGCGCGAAAGUGUGGGGAGCAAACAGGAUUAGAUACCCUGGUAGUCCACACUGUAAACGAUGAAUGCUAGGUGUAAGAGGUAUCGACCCCUUUUGUGCCGGAGUCAACACAAUAAGCAUUCCGCCUGGGGAGUACGGCCGCAAGGUUGAAACUCAAAGGAAUUGACGGGG
rnacentral:rRNA from 1 species